CCGACGGUGAGGGGUGAAAGCUGGGGGCACGAACCGGAUUAGAUACCCGGGUAGUCCCAGCCGUAAACGAUGCUCGCUAGGUGUCUGGGAUGGUGCGACCGUUUCAGGUGCCGCAGGGAAGCCGUGAAGCGAGCCACCUGGGAAGUACGGCCGCAAGGCUGAAACUUAAAGGAAUUGGCGGGGGAGCACUACAACGGGUGGAGCCUGCGGUUUAAUUGGACUCAACGCCGGAAAGCUCACCUGGGGC
rnacentral:rRNA from 1 species